AGUGAACGCUGGCGGUAGGCCUAACACAUGCAAGUCGAACGGCAGCACAGGAGAGCUUGCUCUCUGGGUGGCGAGUGGCGGACGGGUGAGGAAUACAUCGGAAUCUACUUUUUCGUGGGGGAUAACGUAGGGAAACUUACGCUAAUACCGCAUACGACCUACGGGUGAAAGCAGGGGACCUUCGGGCCUUGCGCGAUUGAAUGAGCCGAUGUCGGAUUAGCUAGUUGGCGGGGUAAAGGCCCACCAAGGCGACGAUCCGUAGCCGGUCUGAGAGGAUGAGCAGCCACACUGGAACUGAGACACGGUCCAGACUCCUACGGGAGGCAGCAGUGGGGAAUAUUGGACAAUGGGCGCAUGCCUGAUCCAGCCAUACCGCGUGGGUGAAGAAGGCCUUCGGGUUGUAAAGCCCUUUUGUUGGGAAAGAAAUCCAGCUGGCUAAUACCCGGUUGGGAUGACGGUACCCAAAGAAUAAGCACCGGCUAACUUCGUGCCAGCCGCCGCGGUAA
rnacentral:rRNA from 1 species